GACGAACGCUGGCGGCGUGCUUAACACAUGCAAGUCGAACGAUGAAGCCGGAGCUUGCUCCGGUGGAUUAGUGGCGAACGGGUGAGUAACACGUGAGCAAUCUGCCCUUGACUCUGGAAUAACUGCGGGAAGCUGUAGCUAAUACCGGAUACGACACCUUGGGGCAUCCCAGGGUGUGGAAAGAACUUCGGUCAAGGAUGAGCUCGCGGCCUAUCAGCUAGUUGGUGAGGUAAUGGCUCACCAAGGCGACGACGGGUAGCCGGCCUGAGAGGGUGACCGGCCACACUGGAACUGAGACACGGUCCAGACUCCUACGGGAGGCAGCAGAGGGGAAUAUUGCACAAUGGGCGAAAGCCUGAUGCAGCAACGCCGCGUGAGGGAUGAAGGCCUUCGGGUUGUAAACCUCUUUUAGCAGGGAAGAAGCGAAAGUGACGGUACCUGCAGAAAAAGCACCGGCUAACUACGUGCCAGCCGCCGCCGUAA
rnacentral:rRNA from 1 species